CCCAACUGAAUGUCUAGGAAGGAAGGAAACUGGGAAGGCUGUGGUGGGUUCUGGAGAGGAAGCUGAGAAAAUUACAGGGUUCAUUGCCUUGAGUUACUGCGAGGUGUCCCCUCGUAUUCCAGUGGCUCUCUGACCGAUUCUGAGGAUGUCAAGAUACGGGUGGAUGGUGUCAGCCGCCAGGUAGGUAACACACGUGCGCCUGCGCUCUCUCUCUCACACACACACACACACACACACAUACACUCACAUACACUCACACACGCACACACAGCUGUCUGUGUCUGGGGUGUUGGGUCCUGGAAGACCUGCCCAUAUUGGACUAGUGACAACCACGUUCCUGUCCUUGGUGACAUCAUCCCAGAAUCUCUCUAACUUUUCUCUCUCUCUCUCUCCUUUCCUUCCUCUCCUUUCUUCUGUCUGUCUCCCAUCUCUCUUUCUUCCUCCUCGC
rnacentral:lncRNA from 1 species